GACGAACGCUGGCGGCGUGCUUAACACAUGCAAGUCGAACGGUCAACGAGGGAGCUUGCUCCCUCCGCGUCAGUGGCGAACGGGUGAGUAACACGUGAGCAAUCUGCCCCGAACUCUGGGAUAAGCUUUGGAAACGACGGCUAAUACCGGAUACGACGCUGGAGGGCAUCCUCUCCUCGUGGAAAGCACUUCUGUUCGAGAUGAGCUCGCGACCCAGGAGCUUGUUGGUGAGGUAACGGCUCACCACGGCGACGACCGGUAGCCGACCUGAGAGGGUGACCGGCCACACUGGAACGGGGACGCGGUCCAGACUCCUACGGGAGGCAGCAGUAGGGAAUCUUCCGCAAUGGGCGGAAGGCUGACGGAGCAACGCCGCGUGAGUGAUGAAGGUCGUCGGAGCGUAAAACUCUGUUAUUAGGGAAGAACAAAUGUGUAAGUAACUAUGCACGGCUUGACGGUACCUAAUCAGAAAGCCACGGCUAACUACGUG
rnacentral:rRNA from 1 species